GGGGAUAUAGCUUAGUGGUAGAGUACUUGCCUAGCAAGCAUGAGAUCCUGAGUUCAAUCCUAGAACUUCA
rnacentral:tRNA from 1 species